UCUCAAAGAAAAUCAAAUACAAGUUUGAAAUUCUAUAAUAUGGCAUUUCACACAAAUCAGUCCUAUCUAUUUGUUGUGUGCAUUCUUUUGAUCAUCAGUUCAGGAUCUGUUACUAGUAUCGUGGUUCCUCCUGGAGGAGUGUGUAUAGGACCUUGCACUGCAACUUGCGAUAAUGAUUGUCAUGCUAAAGGAUUUGAAAAAGGUGGACAAUGUUUUACUCGUCUUAUAAAGGCUACUUGUUGUUGUUUUCACAAAUGAGUUCAAAUGUAUGAUUGCCAUCAAAAUAAAUAAAAGAUGUGUUUGAAUUUA